rnacentral:tRNA from 2 species
GCGACACUAGCUCAGCUAGUUUAGCGAAUCCUUACCAAGGUUGAGGUCACGCCUAAGCCUUGAAGAUCGGGAACCUCGUGUGUCGCUCCA